UGUGUGUGUGUGUGUGUGUGUGUGUGUGUGUGUGCGCAUAUAUAUAUAUAUAUAUAUAGAUAUAUAUAUAUAUAUAUAGAUAUAUAUAUUCCUCAAGAAGGAGCACUCACAGGUCUUAAGAAUAAUCAAAAAAGUUUAAUGUGGGCACAAAGCUGACUGGAACACCAGCCUUUCUCAAGAGUGAGUGCUCCUUCUUGAGGACUAUACUGAGUCACAUCUAUUUUUUCGUGAGAUACCAUCACGGUGAAGAGAAAGAUGGACAUCAGUGCUGAAAAGGAAAGUAGGAGAAAAAGGAAGAAAAAGGUGAAACAUCAGUGCAGUGACAACAUCGAGGAAGAUAAUAUGGAAAAAGAAAAGAAGAAAGAAAAGAAGGAAAGAAAAAGACCCCGAAAUGAUGAGGACUCCAUCAAAACAGAGGGUAAGUAAAAACAAGUCAUUUUAAAUGAAGUUGGGAUGCUGCUAUUAUUUAUUUCCAGGUGAUGUUGGCAUCUUUGCCCAACAAGAGCCAGCACGUGGCCAUAAAGGUCAUAAAGAAGAGCGACCAGGUCCAGCCUUUGUCAAGGAUAUGGAUCCUUCCAUACUCAGGUACAAGAUAGUGUCAAAACAUUAAUGGAAUUGUAUCUAUCAAAGGGUGAAGUAGAACUUACCACAGUUCACCAAAGAGAAAUUUCAUAGCUCUUACUUUUAUGGGAAUUUAAGGGGUUGGUUUGUUAAACGGUGAACUGUGCCUAUUAAAAUCCCAACCAGUUUUUUCCACUUUCUCUAUUUGUCUCUAAUCUAAUUGAUUCACUUCAAAUCUAUAUCUAUCAACUAUCUGUCUAUAUGUAUUUAUGUUAAUUUGCCUUUCUGUGUCAGUGUCUAUAUGUUUAUCUCUAUGACUGCAUCUAUAUAUUUGUAUCCAUGUAAGCUGAAUAUAUCUCCCAGCCUAUCUCUAUAUCUGUCAGUGCCUAUUUAUCUGACUAUACAUGAUUUCUCUAUCUUUUGUUAGCCUCCUCAAACACAAAAUCCAUUAGUGACUUCUGUCUUGUGCUGUAAUGUCUGUGCUGGGGUCUCCUGCCAGUUGCCCUAUUUUUUAUAUCAUACCACGAGCUCAAUAAUGGGGUUAACAAUACUUACAGAUCCUUCUCCAUUAUGGGAACGUUGCACCAACAAUGUCUGUAGUAGAUAUGUUUACUAAGAAUUUCCAAGUUGGUGUUUUCUUCAGCCAUUGUGUGUGUAUAGUAAUGUCAAUGCAUCCUCAUAAUUUGAUCAUCUUCAUCAGGAUAAUAUGACAAGAAAGAACUUGAAAGACAAUAGAUCAGCUUUCCUCUUAAAAAAAACCCCCAAAAAAAACAAUAGUUUUAUGCAAAAGGCCAUAAUCAUUCAUGUGAGUUGGGGUCAUAUAUGUUUGGGCUUUAGAAGUUUUUUCUUUUCUUUCUAGAACCAGCGGCAUGCUGUUAUGGUCAUGGAGUACAUCAGCGGAGGGACCCUGGAUCAAAAGAUCCUGGAUUCAGGACUUCUGAAGAUGGACUCAGUAAGAGAUCUCAAAGCAGAUAAUGUCCUAGUGACCAACAAGGAGUACAAGGAACAUUGCCCUACAUGGCCCCAGAGAUAAGGAAUAUAAUGCAGGAAUAGACUGGUGGAGCCUUGGAAUCACCAUAUAUAAGACGGCCACCGGAUCUCAUCCAUUCUUGUCAAAGUUCACCAACGCCAUUCUCUAUAAGGAGCCCUGCAUUCCAAAAUGGCUCAACAAAGAACUGCAAGAUCUCCUGUGACAGCUUCUGACAAAAGAUCCUAAGAAGCGACUAGGCUGCAGUGGGAACAUUCGGGAGCACUCAUUUUUGCAUUCCAUCGAUUGGGUGAAGCUGGAAAAUCUGAAUGUACCAACCCCUUCCAAACCAAUAGCAGUUCCAUUGGUGGAUUUCAGCAAGACGACUGAAAAGCCGCUGUCGUUCUUGGAGUCUAUAAAAUACAAGAUGUCUUCAAGAUAUGUCACGCCGGCAUCCCAGUUGGAGCAGCUGAGCCAUUUGUGGACAUCCAGGAAACUCUGCCAUUCUCAGGCCCAGCCAAUGGCCAUCCUCUCUCCAUACCAUCCCGCUCCAUUAUCGGCUCCAUUUGGUCCUUUUGGCUUCCCCGUCCAGCUUUACGCUGCAUAUUUGCCUCAUGUCGGCUUCUACCAACAGCCUUUACCACCAGUUCCUUAUAAUCUCCAUCCUUUCUUUGGUCCUGUUAUUAGACCUCCGCCAGUUCCAGUCUUAGUCCCAGUUUCUCAUAACCUGCCUCUUGAUGUCGUCAACACCCCUUGGCCUUUUACAUGGCACCUGCAGUAACCAUUGUCCUUUGGCUCUAUCAUUGGCCAUUAACAUCUUAAGUCUCUGGCCUUUGUCAUUUUUCCCUAACGUUUAUUUUUGACCCUUUGUUUUUACCAAACCUUGUCCUUUCCAUCUGCCCCUAGCCUUUUCCAAUGGCUACCGUCUCUGGCCCAUUACAUCGGCCUUUUCCAUCACUCACUGUUUCUGCAGUUGCCCAUUCAACCAUCUUUACUUCUUGCCCUUACCACCGGGUACUGUUUCUGGCCCUCACCAUCGGCCCCAACAUUGGCCCAUUCCAUCGGCCUUCACCCCUAGCCCUUAACAUCGGCUACUGUCUUUGGCUUAAGCUUUAUGAUAAAUAGGAUUUAUGUGAAUAAAAAGUAGGAAUUAAGUCUUAAACUUUAACUACCAUACAGGUAUGAGAUCUGUUAUCCACAAAGUUCAAAAUAUAAUGUUACUAUUUAAACAAGAAAUUCUUUUUUUACAUGUUUUUCUCUUUAAUAAUUAGUGCAUUGUAUUUAAAUGAACCCCCAAAAUAAAAAUUUGCCUAAUAAAAGAAAACAUUUUAAGUAAAUUUCCAAUAAACAUUCAUUAAAAAUGUUUAGUGCUUGUAAAGUUAUAAAAUUGAAAAUUGUUGCUCUUGAAAGCAACAAUUUCUUAACUCCUGGUUGUUCCUUUUUAAACAAUUUAACAAGUCCCAGCAAAGACAGGUCUGUUAAUC